rnacentral:rRNA from 1 species
UUUUAAUAUAUCUAGUUUUUUAAGAAAUAAAUUUAAUUUAGAUGUUUUUUUUUAAUAAUUUAAUUUUAAAAAUUAUUAUAAGAAAUCAUUAAUAUUUUAAGGGAUGAGCUUUAAAAUAAAAUUUUAUAAAUAACUGUUAUUAAGUAAUAAUUGUAAGCUUAGAAUUAGCUAUCAAUAGAAAUUAUGUUUUAAUUUAUUUUUUAUUUAAUAUUAUUUAUUAUUUAUUUUAAAUUUUUUAUUAAAAUAUAAAUUUUAAUUUUAUAAAUUUAUUAAUAAUGAUAAAAUUAGUAAAUAUUUAUAAUUAUAUAAAUAAAUCUUUAAUUGAUUGGUUUUUAUAAUUAAUUCGGCAAAUUUUGUGCUCACCUGUUUAUCAAAAACAUGUCUUUUUAGUUAUUUAAUAUAAAGUCUGACCUGCCCACUGAAUUUAUUUUGAAGGGCCGCAGUAUUUUGACUGUGCAAAGGUAGCAUAAUCAUUAGUCUUUUAAUUGAAGGCUGGUAUGAAUGGUUGGAUGAGGUACAAGCUGUGUCAUAAAAAUUAGUUUUUGAAUUUACCUUUUUAGUCAAAAGGCUAAAAUAGUAUUAAAAGACGAGAAGACCCUAUAGAGCUUUAUAUAAUUUUUAUUUAAAUUAUUAAGAUUUCUUAAAUUUAAUUAUUUCAUUAUAUUUUGUUGGGGUGACAAUAAAAUUUAUAAAACUUUUAUUUUUAUUUACCAUUAAUAUAUGUUUAUAUGAUCCAGUUUUAUUGAUUAUAAAUUUAAGUUACCUUAGGGAUAACAGCGUAAUUUUUUUUGAGAGUUCUUAUCGACAAAAAAGAUUGCGACCUCGAUGUUGGAUUAAGAGUAAUUUUGGGUGUAGAAGUUCAAAGUUUAAGUCUGUUCGACUUUUAAAUUCUUACAU